rnacentral:rRNA from 1 species
UCCCGGCACGGGGAGGUAGUGACGAAAAAUAACAAUACGGGACUCUUCAUGAGGCCCCGUAAUUGGAAUGAGCGCAGUCUAAACCCUUGGGCGAGGACCCAUUGGAGGGCAAGUCUGGUGCCAGCAGCCGCGGUAAUUCCAGCUCCAAUAGCGUAUAUUAAAGUUGUUGCAGUUAAAAAGCUCGUAGUUGGAUCUCGGGCGCAGGCGGGCGGUCCGGCUCGCGCCGGUUCGCCGCCCGUUCCCCUGCCCCACCCCUGCCGGCUCCCUCCCGGCGGUGCUCUUUGCUGAGCGUCCCGGGCGGCCGGCGCGUUUACUUUGAAAAAAUUAGAGUGUUCAAGGCGGGCCCGCCGAGCCCGAAUAACUGCGCAUGGAAUAAUGGAAUAGGACCUCGGUUCUAUUUUGCUGGUUUUCGGAAUCCGAGGUAAUGAUUGACGGGGACAAACGGGGGCAUUCGUAUUGCGGCGUUAGAGGUGAAAUUCUUGGAUCGCCGCAAGACGGGCUACUGCGAAA